rnacentral:rRNA from 1 species
AACGAACGCUGGCGGCGUGGCUAAGACAUGCAAGUCAAACGGACUGUCCAAUUGAGUAAUCGAGAGGACAGUUAGUGGCGUAAGGGUUAGUAAUGGAUAGGUAACGUACCCUAUGCUCCGGAAUAGCGUCGGUUGCUUCGGCAACCUUCCGAAAGGGGCGGUAAUACCGGAUAAUAUCAUUUGUCGACGGACAUCUGAUCAAAGAUUUAUCGGCAAAGGAGCGGCCUAUCUCCUAUCAGCUUGUUGGUGAGGUAAAAGCUCACCAAGGCAGCGACGGGUAGCGGGACUGAGAGGUUGACCCGCAACAUCGGGACUGAGACACUGCCCGGACCUCCACGGAGGGCUGCAGUAACGAAUAUUGCGCAAUGGGUAAAGCCUGACGCAGCGACGCCGCGUGUAGGAGGAAGUCUUUCGGGAUGUAAACUACUGUCAGGGCUAAGAAAGUCCGCCUCGGCGGAUUGAUCUAUCCCAGAGGAAGUCACGCUAACUU